GGGGGCCCGCCUCUAAAAUGAGUGUCUCUGGGGGACAUGACACCAAAACUAAGAGCCCAAUCAAGCAGGAGAGACCAGCCUCCCCUGUACCCAGCUGUGUGUCCAUGAAGAGUGACAAGUCUAUGAAUGAACCUAAUCACUUUAGAGAGGGAUACUUUUCUACUGAACAAAGACCAAUCAAGCAGGAGAGACCAGCCUCCCCUGUACCCAGCUGUGUGUCCAUGAAGAGUGAGCAGUCUAU